GAGUUGGUAGCUCAGUGGUAGUGUGCAUGCUUUGUAUUUAUGAUGUCCUGGGUUCAAUCCCCAGGUUGCCG
rnacentral:tRNA from 1 species